rnacentral:pre_miRNA from 1 species
GUCGAGCUGUCCGUACUCGUCGACUAUAACCGACGCCAAGUAGAGGUACGAGCUGUGACGG